UACGUAGGGGGCAAACGUUGUCCGGAUUUAUUGGGCGUAAAGAGCGUGUAGGCGGUCAGGUAGGUCCGUUGUGAAAACUCGAGGCUCAACCUCGAGACGCCGAUGGAAACCAUCUGACUAGAGUCCGGAAGAGGAGAGUGGAAUUCCUGGUGUAGCGGUGAAAUGCGCAGAUAUCAGGAGGAACACCGGUGGCGAAGGCGGGUCUCUGGACAGUUCCUGACGCUGAGGCACGAAGGCCAGGGGAGCAAACGGG
rnacentral:rRNA from 1 species